GAACAUGUACUGGACAUUUCCAACCAUUUCUGGAGAGGUAAUUUGGGUUUAUCAGCCAAGCCAUGAGCAGCAUAAACAAUUUGGGGAUAAUUUACGCAAUUUGAAAGCUUGGGUUGAAAUAAACCUCUUGAGUGAUGAGUGAUGUGUUGGUGACAAGCUCUUGGUCAACCUUUGGCUAUGUAGCUCAAGGGCUUGGAGGCUUGAAGCCAUGGAUUCUUUACAAG
rnacentral:misc_RNA from 1 species